rnacentral:piRNA from 1 species
AGCCUUCAGAUGAAGAUGUAGAACUCUAAGC